rnacentral:tRNA from 1 species
GGGGUUAUGGCUCAGUGGUAGAGCACUUGCCUAGCAUGUGGGAAGCUCUGGGUUCGAUCCUCAGCACCA